UUGCCGGUGGAAGUCCGGUCCGGGUAGCUGCCAGGAGGCCCGGUAGCAGGCUGGCGGGUUCGUCUGGAAACGGGCGGGCUCGGAGCCCAGUGUCAAAGGCCCUUUCAAGGGGGAGCGACGGUGCGGUCCGUAGCAUGA
rnacentral:ncRNA from 1 species